GUGGCUAACUGUCAGCAUGUAACUGACAGUGUAUAUAUAGUUUAUAGCACUACAGUAAGUUUCCACUCGAGAUCACAGUCCUCGAUCUCACCCCUAAAUACCCCACCAAAAAGUGCCUAAUGGAGACUUUGCUAUUUAAUUAUGCCAGAUAACUAAUGUAGAUCGUAGAGAGAAGGAUAAUGUCAUAGUGUAAAUCAAUUAAAAUAUGUCUACUCCAAAU